UGUUCCAAUUCUUCAGCGGGAUUGAAAAAAAAAUUAAAGGAAACAUUAGCAAAAGUUCCACCUAAUCAUGUGGGAAAGCCUUUAUUGAAGAAGCCAGUGGGACCGGCCCACUGGGAAAAGAUAGAAGCAAUUAACCAAGCUGUGGCCAAUGAAUAUGAAGUUCGGAGAAAGCUGCUAAUAAAACGUUUGGAUGUCACUGUCCAGUCUUUUGGCUGGUCUGACAGAGCUAAGAGUCAAACAGAAAAAUUGGCGAAGGUUUACCAGCCGAAACGCUCAGUCUUAUCUCCUAAAAGUACUAUUUCUGUUGCCCACCUUUUGGCUGCAAGACAAGACUUGUCAAAGAUCUUAAGGACGAGCAGUGGCUCUAUAAGAGAAAAGACUGCCUGUGCCAUCAAUAAGGUGUUGAUGGGCAGAGUUCCCGACAGAGGAGGUAGGCCCAAUGAAAUCAAACCUCCACCCCCAGAGAUGCCACCAUGGCAGAAAAGGCAAGAUGGCCCCCAGCAACCACAGGAGGACGAGGAGGCGGGCGAGGUGGUUAUGAACAUUCCUCAUAUGGAGGACGAGGAGGUCAUGAACAACAAGGAGGAGGGAGAGGUGGACGUGGUGGCGGCUAUGACCAUGGUGGCCGAGGGGGAGGAAGAGGAAAUAAGCAUCAAGGAGACUGGACAGAUGGAGGCAGUGGAGGAGGGGGUGGCUACCAAGAUGGCGGUUAUCGAGAUUCGGGUUUCCAGUCCGGUGGCUAUCAUGGUGGCCACAGUGGUGGCUAUCAGGGCGGUGGUUAUGGUGGCUUCCAAACAUCUACAUACACAGGAAGUGGAUACCAGGGUUGUGGAUAUCAGCAGGACAAUAGAUACCAAGAUGGUGGGCAUCACAGUGAUCGAGGCAGUGGUCGUGGAGGGAGAGGGGGUCGUGGAGGCCGAGGUGGACGCGCUGGCCAAGGAGGAGGUUGGGGAGGAAGAGGGAGUCAGAAUUAUCAUCAAGGGGGGCAAUUUGAACAGCACUUCCAGCAUGGAGGUUACCAGUAUAAUCAUUCUGGAUUUGGACAGGGAAGACAUUAUACUAGUUGAGGCUACAUAGAACCUUACAUUUUGCUAGAGCUCAAGUAAUAGAAACUUAGUUUCAGAAUCCUGAAUCCAGCGUUGAUUUUGAAUUAAUGUGAGACCACCGGUGACAGGCAGAUUCCUGCUUGGCAUAAGCAUUUGUAGGUCUUCAUACAAUACUGUUCUUUUUUUUUUUAAUGGACUUACAUAAUGCUGUUUAUUUGAGAAACACAUACAAUAUCUCUCCUUUGUAUGAAGAAUUUCUUAAAAGGUAAUUAAAACUGCCUUUAACUGACCAGUUUAGACUAAUUCCACAGUCAGAACAUGCGUAUUUUUCUGAAGAAAUUACUUGAAUAAGUAGUUUUCAUGUUUUCAAUAUGCAGUUUUGAAAAAUGAGAAUUCUUCUAGAUUUUUUUAGAUUUACAACUAGGAAACCUUCCUCAUAUUAACAAUCCAUUUAUAUGUGUUUUCCUUAAAGUAUUCUGAUGCCUAUUUUCCAAGCACAGUUCUGCGCUGAUUGGCUUUUUAUUCAGAGAGGUUAUGCAACAUUCGCUUCAUGAUAGAACUUUAAGGUCAGUUCCUAUUAAAUGAGCUCUUCUGCAGAUAGCACAUUCAGUAGCCUUAUCCUUUUGACAGAAUACUGUACCAUAUGCUCAACUCUGAAAACCUUGAACACGGCCAAAAUCCAUAAAGAUUAUAAAAGCAGACUAAGUUGUGAACCUAUAGUACAUGUAGUCAUUUAGUUAAGUUUAGCAAUUCAAACUGACCUGCAUCCAUUCAAAACAAGUUCCUCUUUCAACUUUAUUUUUACUUGAAAUCUGCUAGAAGAAACAGCAAACUGAAAUUUGUUUUAUGCACGAGUUAAAACCACUGGCUCAGCAGAUACAAGUUAGUUUGCUUUGGGCAGGAGACUUUUUGUAAUGAAAGAAAUGCACUACCAAGUAAGAGGACAGACUUUUGCUUAGAGCAGGAGGCCCUUUAUUAUUGCUGCAGAAAACAAAAGCCUGGCUGAGUUGAUGUUUGACACUCGCCGUUGCUGAAAUCUACAUGACGCUUCUUGCUGGGUUUUUGUACACGUAAAUACUGUCAAGCUGUGAAAGAAAAUGGCUGGAGGUGUGCUUUGUGUGAAAGGUGAGCAAUAAAGUAUCUGUAUGUUC